AGAACGAACGCUGGCGGCGUGGAUAAGACAUGCAAGUCGAGCGAGAUUUUUCGUUGUAGCAAUACGAUGGAAAGUCUAGCGGCGAACGGGUGCUUAACACGUGGGCAACCUGCCAUGAAGUGGGGGAUAGCUCGCCGAAAGGCGAAUUAAUACCGCAUGUGAUUAGAGAGGACAUCCUUUCGAAAUUAAAGUCGGGGCAACCUGACGCUUCUUGUGGGGCCCGCGGCCUAUCAGCUAGUUGGUGAGGUAACGGCUCACCAAGGCUUUGACGGGUAGCUGGUCUGAGAGGACGACCAGCCACACUGGGACUGAGACACGGCCCAGACACCUACGGGUGGCAGCAGUCGAGAAUUUUGGACAAUGGGCGCAAGCCUGAUCCAGCCAUGCCGCGUGGGUGAUGAAGGCCCUAGGGUUGUAAAGCCCUUUCGGCGGGAAGAUAAUGACGGUACCCGCAGAAGAAGCCCGGCUAACUUCGUGCCAGCAGCCGC
rnacentral:rRNA from 1 species